CUGGCCUGUCCCACACCCUCUCUGCCGCCUGCCCAGUGACCUAAUUAUUGUUUUUUCUUCCAGCCCCGCGGAGGGGAAAACAGAAAUUCCUGGUGGAUGACACAGGCCCGGCGGCCGCCUGCGAGCCGAGCACGGGACCGGCUGGGCCGGCUUCGCCCGCCCUGAACCCGCCACCCGCCCCGCCGAGGGCCGCGGAACCCGUCAUCAGUUUGUGUGAGGAUUCAAUGAAGUAACACCAAAAUGUUGCAAGCCCAGACUUGGGCAUCCUUAUGUGCUCAAACAAAUGAUCUCUGGGUUCCCUAAGAAGACCUCACCUUCUGCAUCUGAAAACUAGGUCUCUCUGACUCGGAGUGAAAAGCGAAUUUACCUUUCCCCAUCCUGGUGGCAACGAGGGGGCCCAUGGUAGAACUGUGCGCAGCUUGGACAAACUCUGGGAGAGGGGUCCCAGCUGGGGUUUCCUGUUGGACGCCCUUUGGAACUCAGAGCCCCGUUGACAGGAGGAGAGAGGAGCAGUUGAUUGGACAGCUCCCCACCCAGCCAGCCACACUAUCCGAGUCUCAGGCAUUUGGUGGAGUUCAGAGAGGAGGCCUCCAGCAAGCCCAGGUCAGGGCCAAGCUGUCACACUGGUGAGGUUCAUACUUCACAUUCUCACCCUCUUCCCCAGGCUUCCCCUCCCUGCCUCCUUUGCUAAACUUGCCCUUCCUUGAGAAAGGACGGGAGCUCAGUCGCUUUACAGCGACUAAGAGAGGAUGUCAGUCUUUGGAGAUACUCCUUCAUUUGACAUGUGGGGAAUCUGAAGCCCAGAGAUGGCAGGGCUUUGCCAGAGGCUACACAGCAGUCCUGAGGAUGAGAAUUCAUGUCAGAGACCCUUGAUCUAGGGCUGUUUCUCUAUGGUACUUCAUAGCCUAGUUCUGCCCAUUUUACAGAUGGAACAAACUGGGGCCCAAAACUGUGACAUAAGCCAGCAAAGGCUUCCCAGGCCAACAUUAGCAAUGAGGAAUGAGGAAUGUACUUUAGGCAGGGGUUGGGGGGAAUGGGAUCCUUCCAGGACCCCUCCAAUUAUUCGUAGACCCACCUGCUUUGAAGAUGAUCUCUGCCUCCCCUCUCCGCCCAGGGAAAAGACAUCUGGAGAGAUCUGUAGCUAUCAGCUCCCCUUUGUCACCCAGGAAUCCUAAAUCUCCCUAUCCUGACAGAUCAGCCCAGCUGGGGCCCAGAUCCACAUUGGUGCCCUUGUCUGUCUGGCUCCCGUGAGAGCUGGCUAUGAUGGUUGUGCACCUGGAGGCCACUAAGGUCAGGGUGGGCACCGCCUCACUCUGCUCCAGGGCUCUAGACCAAUGCCUAGGUAGGAGCUUUUUCUCAAGACUCGGACAUCAACAGCCAGGCCUGGCAUCAAAAGCCUCUCCUCACCUGCAUGUUUGCUGCCAGCUGCUCUGAGGGGUUGCGUUUCAUUUGUUCAUUAGCUCAUUCAUUCAUUCUUUCUUGCAUUCAAUAUCUCUAGAGAACCUGCAAGGUGCCAGGCACUGCCCCACACAUUGAAGGUAGAGCAGCAAACAAGAUGGUGGGGCCCUGCCUCCUGGAGCUCACUUUCUGGGGUGGGGAGACAGGCAGUAAAUCAAUAUACACAAGACAGAAGGUCAGAUGGAGGUAUCAAGGUGAGGCGGUGGUGCAUGAUGGGGGUGUUCUUUUAGACCAGGUAGUUGAGCAGCGGCCAUGAAAAAGUGGGGGUAGCGGGUCGGGGGUUCCUUGCUGAUGUCUGGGGGAGAAAUUUAGAAAGAGGGGCCUGUAAGUGUCAAGGCCAUGAGGGAGAAACAUGCCUGGUGUUUUGGGGGAUAGCAAGGAACGCAGUGUGGCUGGAGUGAGGGGGACAGAUGAGCGCGUGGGCAGGGAUGAGACUGGAGAAGGGAGGGGCCGCACAGUGGGGGGGUGGGCGGAUGGGGGACCCUCAAGGCACCGAGCUGCCCCACUUAUUCCGUGUCAGCCUCUGUCCAGCCCCUGCCUUGGGUGGCACCGUGCUGUCCCAGGCAGCGUGGACAUCAGGAGCUCAUUACAGAGCAGGCUGUCUGAGGGGCUUCUCUGCUUCUGCCACAUCCUCACACCCCUUUCACCUGUCCUAAAAGGCAGGAUGAAAAGGAUGAGAGAGGAAGCUGGCCUCCUGUGAGAAGAUGCUGGACUCAGAAAUCUUUGAAUUCUAGGCUUCACCUCUGAGUGACUGCAUGAACUUGGAAGAGCUACUUAAACGCUCUGAACUUCCGUUUCCAUAUCUGGCUAAAUAUACUGGCAGCACAAAUAGCUAUGAAAGCUAAGGGUCCACCACCCCCUGACCCAGCAGGUACACUCCUAGCUACAGACCCAAGAGAAAUGAGCACACGUGUCCAAAAGGCACGGACAAGGUGUUCGUGGGGGUUGUUCACAAUGGCCCCAAAUGAGUCAACCCUGAGGCUCAUCAUCAGAAGAAUGGCUGAAGCCGUGUGGGAUAGUUGUAGAGUGGAAUAUUUCAUAGCAACAACAUAAUGAAACUGCUGAUAGAUGCAGCAACGUGGAAGAAUCUGACAUUUUGUUGAGUGAAAGAAGCCAGACACACAAGAAUAGGAGCUGUGUGAUUCCAUUAAGCCGAAUUCAAUAACAGGUGAGGCUAGUCUGUGGUGAGAAAGGUCAGGAUAGUGGUUACCCUUGGGGGUGCUGACUGGGAGGGGGACUGAGGGAAGCUUCUGGCAUGUUGGAAGUGGUUUAUAGCCUUUUUUUUUUUUUUUUUUUGAAAUGGAGUCUGGCUCUGUUGCCCAGGCUGGAGGGCAGUGACACCAUCUCGGCUCACUGCAACCUCCGCCUCCCAGGUUCACGCAAUUCUCCUGUCUCAGCCUCCCGAGUAGCUGGGACUACAGGCGCCCAGCACCAUGCCCAGAUAAUAUUUGUAUUUUUAGUAGAGAUGGGGUUUCACCAUAUUGGUGAGGCUGGUCUCGAACUCCUGAUCUCAGGUGAUCUGCCUGCCUCAGCCACCAAAAAUUCUGGGAUUACAGGUGUGAGCCACCACGCCUGGCUGGAAGUGGUUUAUAUCUUGAUUCUAGUUGGUAUCACAUGGGUUUAUACCUAUGUGAAAAUUCAUUAAGCUUGAGCUCAUCAAAUAAUUUGAGAUUCAUGCAAGUUGUACCAGACGUAUGUUAUAUUUCAAUAAAAAGGUGUUUCAAAAUGCCUAGCGAGCUGGUGAAGGAUAAAUGGGAUUGAGAAUGUAGCUAUGCCUGCCUCAAAAUAGGGCCUUGUGAAUGUUCCUGCCUCCCUAGUGCCACUCUGAGGGACAAGGGGUGCCCUCCAGCAGCCAGGCUUUGUCUAGACUGUUUUGACAUCAACUGCCAUCGACUGCUGUGACCACCGUGACAGAGCACCAGCCAGGGUCAGGUGAUAUUGUGCUGUGCUGUUGGGUUUUGUUUUGUUUUGUUUUGUAUUUUUUUGUUUUUGCUUUAUUUUUUCUGUUGCUUUGCUUUGUGAUGAGAAAAUUAUUGUGCUUAUCAUCAUUAAUUUUAUUUAUUUAUUUUUGAGACUACAGUCUCGCUCUGUCACCCAGGCUGGAGUGCCGUGGCGCAAUCUCAGCUCACUGCAACCUCCGCCUCCCAGGUUCAAGCAAUCUUCCUGUCUCAGUCUCCCAAGUAGCUGGGAUUACAGGCACGCACCACCCAUGCCCAGCUAAUUUGUGUGUGUGUGUGUGUGUGUGUGUGUGUGUGUGUGUGUGUGUAUUUUUAGUAGAGACAGGGUUUUGCCAUGUUGACCAGUCUGGUCUCGAACUCCUGACCUCAGGUGAUCCACCUGCCUUGGCCUCCCAAAAUGCUGAGAUUACAGGCAUGAGCCACUAUGCCCAGCUGCUGAUUAUCAUCAUUCAAUGACGCAGCUUGCUAGCGUUCAGGUCCCCAGGCCUGGUGUGUGCAGCAGAGACCCUGGAGUGGGGAGCCAUCCCCUCCCUUUACAGAGGGGCAAGGUCCACCAGAGAUGAGCUUGGGAGCCUUGGGUUCACCCAACAAUGGAGUGGCAAUCCCCACCCCCAGCCUCCCUUGGCCCACAUCCCCAGUGCCCCCAGGAUCAACUGGCUGCACCACUUAUGCCCUUCCACCCUGCCCCAAAGUCACUGCCCCAGGCCCAGAGUGGGGAGUGAUGUCCCCAAGGCAAUAUGGGAAGUCUGCAGCAGAGCCAGGCUAGGCCAGGGGAGGCAGGGAGAUGAGAGGCUGAAGGCCUGGGCCACCUAGGCCACCUUGGCACCAGCCAAGCUUCCCCCUCGAGCCCAGGUGGGGAGGCCCUUCCUGAGCAAAGGCUAGGGGUCUGUGUCCUCUCUCAGCUCUGAAGAAGUGGUACAGUUAUAAGAUUAACGAGAGGAGUACUUUUAUCAUCAGCUCAGCAUCGGGUGGGCAUCCAUUGUACCCCUGUCUGCCAGGUACCAUGUAGGGUAAACCCUGCCGCCUAAGCCUAAGCCCCUCCUAUCUCAGGGUUACAAUCUGGGGUCCCCACUCUUCUUUUGGCCACUCCUUCUCACUUACCAUGGAAAUACCCCAGACCCAUGAGACGGGUGGCCCAAGGGAAAGAUUCCAGAGGUGAACGUGACCCAGCCCAGGAACUGAUCUUCCCUCCCUUCUCGCCAGCCUUCAGGUGUCAUUUUCAAUGUCACCUCCUCAGGAAGACCUCCCCUGGCUGGCCUCCCCUCCGACCCCUGCCUGAUCCAGCCUGUGGCUCCUUCCUUCUUCACCGCCUUGAUCACUCCCUGUGGUCUUCUAGUCAUUGGCCUGAUUCUUGGGCUAGAGUCUGCUCCCCUGCUUGAGUCUGGAAACUCCUUGGAGGCAGGAGCUGUGUCUAUUUUAUUCCCCACUGGGUGUCCAAUGGCUGUAUGAGGGAUGAAGGCAUGAUGCUGAAGAACCGCUCUGAAAGGGAUGCAGACACUGAGGGGAGCCACAGCCAGAGAAGGGAAGGAAGGGUUAGUUUUGGGGUGCGUGGUGUUUGGGGCUGAGCCUGUAUGGUUGCAGAGGGUUCAGGGAAAGCUGGCUGGGAUGGGGUUUACAGGAGAGGGCUGGAGGCCCUGCGAGAGUGUAACCUGGACACCUGGAGAUGCCAGGCCCUUCCUCUAUGAGCUGAAGGUCCCUGAUCUUGGUGAGAGGCCCGGCUGAAACCUCUGGCCAGGGGCCCUGUGUAGGGGAAGGCAGUUCCUGGGUCCACAGGACCCAGCCUGGGUGCCUACUCUCUGCUGUCCAUAGGACUCCCAGUCCAGCCGGGAGAGGCGCUUCUCCUCCCUGGGGAGGGUAGGCGGCCCAGGCCUUUUCCAUCAGUCACACUGGCCCUCCCAUUAGGGCUCUCCCUUGGUGCUUCUAUUUCUAGGAGUUCCCUGUGAGCCUCCAGCCCUCUCCCUGGCUGUGUGACCCAGAGAAGCCCUCCAGCCCUUAGAGAGGGUCACACAGAGAGGGAGAGGCAGAGUUGGGACUAACUCUAGGCCAGGACCUCCAGCUCCACCUCCACCAGGUGCAAGGUCCUUAUUCAGGCUGGCUGCCACAGGGUGGCCCCAGCAGCAGGUCCCACGUUCUCACUGUGGUUCAGCCAGGAGCCCAGCAUUCCCACACUGCCCAGGGGGGACUGCCGUUGUCAGGGGCAUCUUCCCUGGCAGUGCCCACGGCCCCACACCUGAACCUGAGUUCAGGGCGCUGAGAGUGCUGGCUUCAGGAAAGCCUAUUCUCUGGGUGUCUGCAAGGGUCUCUUCUGACACCCCCAUGAGACUGGGUCUUCCCCAGAGCAGGGCCUGUGCCUCCUCCAUCAGACUGGAGACUCCUUAUUCACAGGCCCCUCAAGCUUCAACUCUCCAGUCCUGUGGCACUGAAUCUCACUCCAGGAUCCCCCAACACCCUCAAGGCUGGCAAGAUACAUCCUCAUGCACCUCCUACUCCAGGCCAGGCCUCUCCGCAGGCUGGGGGUGGAGGCCUGGCCUGGGUCAGGUCGGGGUGCGGGGGACAGAUCUUCCAGCCCCCUCUCCCUGGAAGGUCCUUGUGAUCAUGGACCAUAUCUUAUUUGUUCCUGCAUCCCCUGUGCCUAUUGCAGAGACUGGCAUAGAGUGGGCUCUGGUGACAUGAACAAGGAGGAUGUAUAGAAGGUGACUUGGGAUGUUCUCUGAGGGGAUCCAGAAAGAAGUUCCAGGCCUCCAUAUCCCCAUCUCCGACAGCUCCCCAGGAGCCACAGUCUGGAAUUCCACUGAGGGAGAUAUGUCUUUGACAUUCUCUUCCUGGGAAUAAUUCAGAGGGUUCAUUUACUGCACUCAGGCCCGGAGGCUUUAGGGACUUUUGAGUCAGGAAACCGGGGUGGAAACCUGGGUGCUGGGAGAUCUGGGCAGGGACGGGUGUGCCAGCCUGCUCCUCAGCCUCCAGUGGGGAAGGGGUGAGCCCCCAGGGUGGGACUGAUCUCCAGACAGGCUUGCGCUGCAGGAGCCCUUGGGGCCUGUGGGAAUAGCGGGGCCUCUGACAGACGCUUUAUCAGGCCCUGUCGCCAGCGUUAUCUGCGGCUUCUCAGCAAAGAAGGAGCUACAGUCACUCAGACCACUCCAGGCCGGGAACAAAGCAGCCGAGUCAGCUGGCGUCCCAUGGCUCUACUGCCAGACCCGUGGGCUCGGCAGCCUGUGCCCCAAGCUGGGUGUUCAAGGAGGUGGCUGGCCCAGCCAGGCGACAGCCCGUCUGCUGGGACUCCCCCGCCAAGAGCCCGCCGUCACUGGGACCACCUCCCUUGAGCCUAUCUUCAGAAGGGGGAUGGGGCAUGGGGUCACUCCAGUCCUUCCAGGGCCCUGCUGAAAUGUCAGCCACAAAGGAUGGGACACAGAGGGGCCUGUCCAGGAACAAGGGCCAAGUGUCGGCGUGGGAUGAGGGCUGGGGCAGGGCUGGUCAAAUGUUUACUUGGAAUGAUUUGAGUGGGCACCCUCAGGCCACGGGGGCAGCUGGCGCCUGGCACGGAGCCCCUGUACCCACUCCCAUGGGGCACUGCAAGGAUUCAGGCCCACCCCAGAUGGGGCCUGAAUGAGAAAGCACCCAGAGAGGGCAGCCAGCCAAGUCCUGGGCAUGGUCCUUCUCUGCCAGUCUUUGCCCUCUGUUGGGGAGAAGCAGGAGCUGGGAAGGCCAGCUCCUCUCAUUCAGGAAGCACCUGCUUCUCUGGUCUGCAGGGCUGCCAGGAAUGGUUGGGCAGGUCACGCACUGCAAAAGGGCACCUUGUCGCUGAAAUAAGUGGAUCUGAAAUUUGUGCAAUGCAGUAAGGGGCUGAUUUAGCCCAGAGGCUGCUUUUUGGCAAUUUUCUGCUAGGAGAGGGCGCCAUUGCAUACCGGGCACUGGGGAUGACAACAUGGUUCUUUUGGUAGGAGCUCACAGGGUUUUCGGGGGAGGGUUGCCAGAUGUAAUACAGGAUGCCCAGUUGGAUUUGGGUUUCAGAUAAACAACGAAUAUACAUAUAUAAAAUAUGGGAUAUUAUAAACACUAUAUAUGUAAUGCUUUUAGUAUAAGUCCCAUGCAUUAUUGCAAUGUCUGAAGUGUCAUGAGGGACACCUCCCCCCAGUACGUAGGGUUAGGGCCCUGGGGCCAUGCGGGAGGCUGAGCAGCCGGGCAGUGUGGCUGCAGAGGAGCCUGAGAGGCAACAGGGACAAGAUGGAGUGUGGCCUUGAAGUGCCGGGAGUGAGCGGGGCCAGGCGGGGUUGUGAAUGGGACGCGCACCGUGGCAGGCUCCCUCUGGCGGCCGUGUGGAGAACAGGCUGCAGGGCGCCGCGGAAGAGGCCACCCCGUGAGGAGCCCAGAGCGCUGGGCCCCGGGCAGGGAGCGUGGAGCUGGAGAGAAACGGCUGACUCUAGACAUCUAAACUUUUUAUGAUGGAGAACGGUAAACGUAUACAAAUGUAGUGAGACGAGGCACGCCCAUGUCCUCAUGACCCGCGUCAACCAUCAUCAGCUCAUGGCCAAUUAUGUUUCAUAUAAACCUCUCACCCCUCCCAGCAACGGGAUUAUUUUGAAGCAAAUCCCAGACUUCAUAUUAUUUCAUCCAUAAAAAUGUCAGUAUAUAUCACUAAAAGAUAAGGCCUGGAUGUAUUUUGAAGCUGGAGCCACCAGGAAUUUGCCCGGAGCCUUCAAGCAGCUAUUAAGAGGGAGGGGCCCCCACCCCAGGAAGCUCCACACUGUGCAGUUAGUUCCCUGCUCUUCUGACCACCUCUCCUAAAGCUUUCUAGUUUUUUUCUCCCUGGGACAAGUCUUCCUAGGCCUGAGCCUCUUCUCUCCCUGCUCCUGACUGUGCACCCUCCUUAAGGAUGCCCCUUGGGCUGUGGUCUUGGACUCUCCAGAGCCUCCUUCCCCGAGUUCAGAGCGCCCACAGCCCUUUCCACUUCGUAGUCCCUUGAAAACAGGAUUGCCUCAUGUCUAGGCCUUCAAAGAUGACCCGUCCUGGGAACUCAGGACAGGCAGGCACCCUGGUGAAUGAGAGGAGAGCUCACAGGAAGUCACAGAACGAGGGACAGGGACACAGAUUCAAACGUGAAGAUACUACUAAGUGCAGAGGAGGCUCUUUGCUCUCCAGAAGGCCACCUCCUCCAGGAAGCCGUCUGGCUCUGCCUCCCUGGGAGAUUUUGAGUAGGUCACUUGCCCUCUCCCGGCCUGAGACAGGAACCGGUUCCUCACACAGAGCUUCUCCCUUCUCUCCCUCCUCUCAGAUUCUGCACCUGUAAAGUCCCUGGGACGGGAGGAGCUGAGGGGCAAACUGGACUCGGAGAGAAACUGCCAGGCCUCUAACUUCCGACAGGCAUAGUAACCCCACUUUACAGGAGAGGAAGGUGAGGUGGGAGAGGUAAAGUGACUUGAAGGGUCCGCCAGUGUGCAGGGCGCACAACCAGGAUUUGAGGGCAAAGCCAAACCCUCAGCCCUGGGCCCCAGGUGCCAGCCAGCUUUCAAGGGCCCACAUCUCUGGGCAGAAUCCGGCUCCGCGGUCCAAAUCCCGCAACCCCGCUACCUCCCAGCCUCCCCCAGCAGCUCUGGGAGGCCAGCGCCUCCCUCCUCAUUUCAUUUUACUCUGGCCCCCUUCUGUGGGCUGGGCACAGUGGGCACCAGACACACCACGCUUUUCUCUCAUUCAAUCCUCGCGGCAGCUCAGUGAGGGACCGUCCCCAUUUCACAGAAGGGGAAACGGACACUCCGACAGGCUCCAGGAGCUGCCCAGGGCCACACAGCUCUGCAGUAUAGGAGUCAGGAUGGAG
rnacentral:lncRNA from 1 species